rnacentral:misc_RNA from 1 species
CCAAUCUCUACAGAGGAUGGAAAAUCUUGUUCGACACAAGAUGAGGUCCUAACUGCCAUGGAUGAGAGGGAUAGACAUUUUGUUGAUAAUAUUCUUACUUUAAUGUGCAAGGAAGAAACCUUUUCUGGGAGGGUUAAGCUGAUGGACUGGAUCUUGGAAGUACAAAACCCCUCUGUGCUAUAUUGGUUUUUAACUAAAGGGGGUGUCAUGAUCUUAUCUGCAUGGUUGAGUGAAGCAGCUGGAGAAGAGCAAACCAGCGUUCUUCAUCUCAUCCUGAAGGUACUCUGCCAUCUUCCUUUACACAAAGCAUUUCCUGGACAUAUGUCUGCUAUACUGCAGAAUGUUAACAGCCUGCGAUUCUAUCGGACUCCAGAUAUCUCAGACAGGGCAAGAGUUUUGCUUGAAA